CGAUCGCAUCUCGCCUACAAAUUCCUAUGCGAACCUGCGCAACCUGGGUUUGUUUCUGGCCCACGACAUGGGAAUGCACCGUACGUGGACAUGCCAAGAUCUUAAAUCCAGCUUGUGUAAGGUUCAGGUCCGUGCUAGGUUUUCAACCGAAGCGAGCGUCGAGCGAGAGGGAUCUUCUCCAGGGUUGGUUCUGGAGUCCGCCGUGGUUCUUUCUCGACCUCUUUCUCACUCCGUUGAUGCCAUUGUUGCUUGUUUCCCAAUCAUUUGGAUGUUCCCACAAGGAUCUCUGCUGGUUAAAGGUUCGCCUGUCGUAUUCGUUUUUUCUGCGGAUUUCACUUCGUUGUUUGACGUCUUCUUGCCCGGUGAAUUGAUGAGUAAAGUAGUAUGUCUCGUGCUUCCACGAUGUUUGGCAUUCUCCCGUUUGAGUUUAUGGAUUACCUUUUUUUUUCCCUUGGUCGGUCGAUUAGGUUGUGGAAGAUCUUUCUUUCGAGUUCCUGGUUUUGAUUUGAGUGGUGAUGGAUCAUCGACAGUAAUUUUAACUUGUUUGUUGAACCCCUGAGCGAUUCCUUCUGCUUUAAUCUGAAUCUCGUCAGGUAUGACAUACGCGGAAGCUUUACCAUUUUUUUUUUUUAUCUUGAUAUUGAGUCGGUGCUUUUUUUUUCUUUGCUGGAGUCAUUUGUAUAUGACCUUUAGAUUCUCUUUGUUUGGCUAGGUUUUACUGUGAACUAGUUGGUGGGCAGUUCUGUGGCUAAAAUUUGACCUUCUGGAAUGGAGACUAUGGCUGUAGUUGCGCCGCAUCGCAGUAAAUGUUGCAGUAGAAGCGAAUCACAACUUUGUAGAGACUUUAAAGGUUUUAGCUUCCGCAUUUUUGAGUCUUCUGCUCGAAUUCUGCCGUCACCCUGCUCUCCAGUUCGCCAUUGCUACGGCCAGUAUGAGCAGAAAUCUCCUAGUUUUCACUCAGAACAAGAAGGAAAACAAAGAACUAAGAGGCAAACUAUUUCAUUGAUCACCCCUCCAAAAGUAGCCUCCUUCGAUGAUAGCGUAUCCCUUUCUGAGCGGUGGGCAGGCCCUGCCUACUCAAACUCACCUCCCCCAAGUUCUUUGCCAAUCCCAAAAUUUUCGCUUCGGCAGAAACGCAGUAUUUCUCUGGAACUUCAAAGUCCAAAAGUUACUCGUACACUUCCCGCUCUUUCAAAAUCCGCACCGUCCUCUCCUACUAACGAUUCCCCUUUAUCUGCUUGUAACUUGUUUUUCAACACUGUCAUUGCUACGGAGAACUUGAGACGGAUUCUCCAGUUGGAUAUUGAAGAUCAUUAAGGGAGACUCUGUUCAAUCUCUUUGUAGUACAUGUAGAUAGUUAAUCAUAGUUGUGUCUGCUUCUGUAUUUUCUAGCUUUAGAUUAAAAGUUUACGAAGCUUCAGUAGGAAUAAGUCCUAUAUCGUAUUUUAGGUUCACUAAUAUUGAGCAUGCAUGAUAAGGGAUUAGAGUAAGUUUCCUGCAAAUAUAUUACUUCUUUUGUAGCAUUUAGGUCAUGAUUCAGCCCCCCUUAUAAUCUGAGUAAGUGAAAAAAAGGAAAAAUUUGAUAGUAGUUAGGAACUGCAGUCUCCCUUAUAAUGUGCAAUAUUCUCUGUGCUUUUUCUUGUCUAUGUCACUAUAAUUCCUCCUUUGUUCAUAUUCUUUUUAGCUCUGUUUGAUCUUUAGACAUCAGUAACACAACCUUGUCACUUCCCGUUUUUUCAAAGGAAGAAGUGAGAAGUGUAAUGCUGUACUUCUGAUCUAUCUCUUUCCUUAUCUAUCGCCAAGCAUAGCCUAUAGUUGCUUUUCAUUAGUACCAUUUUAGAGUGAUCUUCUGUAAUCAGUACUGGUAAAUUUUGCAUCAAAUAGUUGUGUCUUCGUCCAGUUUAAGAGGUCUCUGGAGACUGGUGCACACUAGAAGCUGAUUCGCAACCACGUCAAGAACCCUAUGUUGGUGAUAAAUACAGCAGCUUAGAUCGUAAUUGGCGACACUGAUGAACUUUUUUGCUGCUGCGGAUGUUGCUACGUAUCUGGGCUAACUUUUGGAACCAGUUGUGCUUUAAGGAAACCUUUGAUUUUAAUAAUGGACCAUGUAGAAUUUGAUUUUUCCUCUACGCAGACUAGAUUUAAGUAGCCUUUUUCUAAUAAUGCUCCAAUGUUAGUUUUUCUUUGUAAGAAUUAUGUUGUCCAUGAUGUUGCGUGUUUGGGUUAUGGAAUAAACAAAGAACUGAAUGAAUAUUCCUAAA